rnacentral:rRNA from 1 species
UACGUAGGGUGCGAGCGUUGUCCGGAAUUACUGGGCGUAAAGGGCGCGUAGGCGGCCUUCUUAGUCGAACGUGAAAUCCCCGGGCUCAACCCGGGAACUGCGUCCGAUACUGGAAGGCUCGAAUCCGGGAGAGGGAUGUGGAAUUCCAGGUGUAGCGGUGAAAUGCGUAGAUAUCUGGAGGAACACCGGUGGCGAAGGCGACAUCCUGGACCGGUAUUGACGCUGAGGCGCGAAAGCCAGGGGAGCAAACGGG